UCUCUCUCUCAAAUGAAAUAAGAAUACCUACUGAAUUUAAGCAUAUUAUUAAGUGGAGGAAAAGAAAACAACCGUGAUUUCCAUAGUAACGGCGAGUGAAGUGGAAAUAGUCCUAUCUUGAAAUCAUAUCUGGUUCACACUGGGUAUUGAAUUGUAGUAUGAAUGACCACACGUCCAGUAUUAUUCACUCCAAAGUCCUCUUGAACGAGGCGAGGUACAAGGUGCCAUCCCUGUAUGGAGAGGGUAAUGUUGUGCAGGUGUGUCGUUUCUUGUGAGUCAGGUUCUUUGGGAGUAGAGCCUUAAGGUGGGUGGUAUAUAUCAUCCGUGACUAAAUAUCGUUGUGAGGCCGAUAGCGUACAAGUACCGUGAGGGAAAGAUGAAAAGGACUCUGAAAAGAGAGUGAAAAGCGUGUGAAAUUGCUGAGAAGGAAGCGAUUCCUUUGCAAACGUUUUUCAGAAUCUUUUUUUCUUUUUCUUUUCAUUUUUUAGGAUUGGUAUUUUCUUAUCAAUACUAAGGAAUGGUUAAAUAAAAAGAAAAGAACUAUUCUAGAGAAAUUCAAUAUCGUAUCUUUUUUUACUAUGAAAAGGGAAAUAAUCUGAAGGGAAAGAAAGGUACUCUGUAUUUUUCUUUUUCUUGGUUAUUUUUGACUUGUUAGUGAAAAGAGAUUUCCAAUCCUUUAUCCACAAGGCAAAAGAAAGGGUUAAGUGUACUGUGUUUUAUUUUUGUUUUCUUUUAGCAAUAAAAGGGAUGAGAAUAAGUAAUGGAGUACAAUGAUUCUUUGUUUUCCAAAGGAAGAUAUUGGAAUGCAAUGGAAUUGUCCCGUCUUGAAACACGGACCAAGGAGUAUAUCAAAUAAGCGAGUAAAAGAGUCUAUGAAACUUAUUUUACAUAAUGAAAGUAAAUAAAAUAGAAGGAUUAGUCAGGUUUCCUGAUUGAUCUUGCAUAUUUUAUGGAGAUAUUAAAUAUCUUCAAUAAGAGUUUAUUUGAUGUGACCCGAAAGAUGGUGAACUAUACGUGGCAAGGGUCAAGUCAGGGGAAACUCUGAUGGAAGCUCGUAGCAAUACUGACGUGCAAAUCGUUUGUCUGAGCUGUGUAUAGGGGCGAAAGACUAAUCGAACCAUUUAGUAGCUGGUUCCCUCCGAAGUUUCCCUCAGGAUUGCUGAUUUUCCGUUGGUUAGUUUUGUCAGGUAAAGCAAAUGAUUAGAAGUCGUGGGAAGCAACUGUUUCUCAGCUUAUUCUCAAACUUUGAAUGGGCAAAGCGUCACUCAUUUCUUUGUUGAAUGAGUGAAGGAAAUAAAGGAAAAUCAAGUGGGCCACGUUUCUGGUAAGCAGGACUGGCGAUGCGGGAUGAACCGCAAGAGCAAGUUACCGUGCCCGAAUGAUUCUUCAUGCAGACCCCAGAAAGGGGAUUAAUUCAUUAAAACAGCAGGGCGGUGACCAUGGAAGUCGGUAUCCGCUCAGAAGUGUGUAACAACUUACCUGCCGAAUGACAUUGGUCCCUAAAAUGGAUGGCGCUCAAAGAAUCACUUAUUACGUAUACUUGUCUUUAAAAAGAAUGUGAUCGGAUGUUCUGGUCAAUAUCUUUUUAAAUGUAGGAGGGCGUUAAGAAAGAAUAGAAUUUAUUUUGUGAAAAAUAAAGGAUCUUUCUUGAGUGCGGAUCUUGGUGGUAGUAGCAAAUAGUAAAGUGAGAGUCUUUACGACCGACGACAGGAGCAAGGUUCCCGAGCAACUGUGUUUGGCUCUGGGUGAGUCGAUUUUAAGCAAUUGAUGAAGUUUUUAUAAUCAAAAAUUGGGGGAGUGUGACUCAAGUGGAAGUAAACUUUUAUUUGGGACACAUUUCCCAUGAACAAUUUUUUGGUAUUGUAAAAAAGAAUUCAGUUAAUAUUCUGAAACUGUCUUUGGGAAUGUUCUUUUUUUGGUUUAGUAAUAAAUUGGAAAAAGAGUAAGACUGGUGACAGAAGAUACGCUCGUGAGUAUUGUUGUUCAUUUGAGAAGAGUUGUCUUUUCUUUUUAAAGGAAUUUUUGGGUCUCCUCUGAAAAUAAGUCAUUUGGCGCAAGAGGAACCUGUCCUGAAGAAUAAUCUGCCUUUUUAGAUUAUUUUCUGUUUGUCCUUCACGGGAUAAAUUAAAAUGAAUAAUAGUAUCAUAAAAAACGAGUUGGUGUUUGUUUUUUCCGAGACAAUCGUACUGAUUACCGCAGCAGGUCUCCAAGGUGAAUAGCCUCUGGUCGAGAAGCGAAGGGAAAUAAGGGAAGUCGGCAAAAUAGCGUUGUACGUUUGCAAGAAAGCGUGGCUCUGAAGAUGGGAAUGGUGAAAGGGAAGGUGUCUUUCCAUGGAAGUCUGUGUUGCUUUUGAUGAUUCUUUCUCAGCAAUGGGAGGGAGUUGUUGAGAGUGAGAUAGGUUUUCGUUGGGAGGAGACUUGAAGAUAGACUUGUUUGUUAUUUUGUUCGGGAGCCUGAUAAGAUGGGGGCAACUUUGUCUUGUUAAGCUUUUGUUCUAGGA
rnacentral:rRNA from 1 species